AGAGAAGGCACAGGAUGGAAAACUCAUGAUGAAUUGUUAGGGCAUGUUGAGUUGGUUCUGUCAAUGCCUGCAGUCAGAUGAUUUCACUGGCUGUACAACAUGAAAUCUCGUAUUUCAAUGUAUAAGUGUCAAAGUUCAGCUGAAGCAGGGACGAAUACAGAACAAAAUUUGUGUGUGUUUGUAACUAGGGCACCAGAGCAAUAGAGGAAGCCAAAAUGAGCCGGAAAAGCAAAAGGAGUUUAAAGGAGAAAUUUGCCUUGAAGAACAGCUUGGUUAAAGAAGCCCUCUCAGAAUUCCUGGGAACUUUUAUACUGAUACAGCGUGGUUACUGCCUGACAAACACUGUACAGCCUUGAAUGAACUGCUUCUAUUUACGACCCUUGGAUGUGGGUGUGUGGGCCAGGCUGUCCUUAGUCGAGGAGUCCACGGUGGGCCUAUGACGACAGCAGUUGGAUUUGCAAUGGCAGUCACCAUAGCAGUGUAUGUGUCUGGGGGGGUUUCUGGU